UGACCACAUUGUGGUCAAAGGGGGUACUGUAUGCAGCAUCAUAAAAUCCUGUAAUCAAGAUUCAAGCUCUGCUGCCAUCUUGCGUCUCUAGUUAUCAAGUACAGCCCAGAUACAUCCCCCCCUUUUACCGCCGCAACGUCACCCUGGUAGCGCGGCGGCAAUUCUGUUAAAUGAAACGCGUACCAUCUGAAGAAGCAAAUGGAUGA